ensembl:snRNA U6 U6 spliceosomal RNA
GUGCUUGCUUUGGCAGUACAUACACUAAAAUUGGAAUGAUACAGAGAAGAUUAGCAUGGCUCCUGUGGAAGGAUGACAAAUUCAUGAAGGAUUUCAUUAAAAA